rnacentral:ribozyme from 1 species
AGAAUUCUCUGGCACUCCUCUUCAUCAUAUAAUCGGUAUGGGGAAAAUUGAGAGUGUGCAAAUGCUCCUCGAUGCUGGAGCCGAUGUAAAUGCAGAUUUUGAGGGAAACACA